CAGGAUAGCGAUGUUGUCAGCCAGGAUGCCAGUGUCCAAAGAGUACUGCGUGAACUUCUGCUGCAGGACAGCACUGGUCUCAGGAGUACGACCUGCAAACACGGAUGUUUGCGUGCUCUCUACUCACCCUGGCUAUGGAAGGUGAAGCGUCCAGGGGUUUCAGUUUUCCUAGCCAGGUGAGUCAUUCUCCAGCAGGUACCAUCAGCACUGAAAUAAGAGAGAAACCAAAAUCAGUUCAUGUGUUAAUCUUCCUAAAAAAAACCUGACCACUAGGAUGUUUUAGUUUGAUAGGAAUCACUCACUUCAGUUUGGAAUAAGAGAGGUCCAGGUCUCCUCCUUCAGUUGGCGAUAGCUGAGCAACGCCUGACUUCAUCGAUGCCUUGUGAUUCACAAACCACUGAGCGUUGGUAGCAAAGCCAACCAAGUACCACUUGCCUGCCAUCUAUAAGAAAGACGGAAGGAGGAUAAUGAAUAUUCUUCUCACUCAAUCAAUCAAUGAGUAGUAGUUAAGAAGUUUUCUAAACUUUUGUAUAAUCCUGACAGUAACAUUUGCUCAGUUCUUGAUUGCAUCAAACACAUCAAGCAGCCACAGAUACUAAAUAACUCUUUCUUAAACUUUUUCCUGUUGAUUUAAAUAUUUCUCUCUUUCUCCUACCAUCUCCAGGUUGAAGUCUUUCACAGGCAUGACAUCUGCACAGGUGGCCAGCGUGCACAUUAAGGCAGCCAGCAUCUUCAGCAGUGUGUUCCUCAUGGCUUCUUCUUUGUGUGUUCUGAGCUUCUCUCCGGCAGAUGAGGAGUAUCAGGACGAUGUAACGUGGUAAGGCCAGCGGAGGCUUCUUAUAUGCUCUGUCUCCUCCCUCCCCCUGCUCCCUCCCUCCCUCCUGCCGCUACCUUCUGCAUUACAAAAACUCUCUGGCCUUCACCCAGCCGCCUGCAAAUCACUGCCGUUACACAACUGGCACGUGCGGACGGAGAAGGUGAGGAGGGGAGGUGAGGAAAAGGGGGGCAGUUGGUGCAUAAUGGGGUUCUUUUAACACCAAUCCCCUCCUCCCUCCACCACAAAUGCUUCAAAGGCAUGACCGGCCUAUCAAAACAGCUGUUUGUUUGUUAAGAGUGCAAAUGUCUUCACCAUAUGGCACACGGAAGCCCCACGAAAUGCACCAGCAACAAGAGAUCAGGAAGACUUUUACAAAUCUCCAGGAGCCCAUCUGGGAGCCACUGAACUCCAUCUGAAUAGAUAUCAAAGCAUUUCACAGUUUGCUGGGUAAUUAACCAAUUGCAGUGAAUAUUAAAUGCAUGGCCAGGAGCUGUGCAGCAGUGUUAUUUAAGGACUCCACAGUGAAAACCAGGUCUACUAUCUGUAAUAAAUAACCAGCGAUUUGAUCCCACUUUGCAUGUGGAUCACUUCUUAUUUUGAGUGUUAACAGUUUCUUAAAACUUUUGAAGCAUGAAGACAUAGCGAUAUCAGUUUUAUAACAACUGAUUGAUCAGGGAGAGGUGAUUGAACCACAUCAUCUUGUGUGACCUUAAAUGUUGCCUUGAUCUCUGCUUACUGAGAAAGCAACUCCCUUUAAUCCAUUACAUUGUGCGACACUUUGUAUAAUUCACAAUGCCUAAUACAUUAGGUGCUGAUUAGCAGUGAAUUCUGCACAGCUCCCUUUGUUCGGAGACUAGACAGGCACCGGCUUGCAAUCAGCUGGUUAUGUAACACACAAACACACACGUGCUGGGUGGAGCCAGGGGGAAGCUGUUGAGGGGUGCAUUUGGUAACCUGGUUUUGUAACCAAACUCUUACAACCCCUUUUGUGCUUCACAUCUGUGUCUAAUUAUCUCCGGCCACAACCCCCAUCCCCUUAUUUUGUGUCCUCAGGGGCACGCAUGCAGUCCCACACUCUACAUUUUCUAUCCCAGAAUGAAAAGUCAGGAUGCAGCUAACAUGAUAAUGACAGCACCACAGAAUUAGCUGAUGGCAUGCAAGGAAACUGUAGGUUUCUUCUAAGCUGAGAGCAUUUGACAAUAAUUAGAUUUCAUGUUGUUGUUUUAUUUUUCUGCAACCAUUUUAAAGGUUUUUCCACAAGUUUAAUGCACUGGUUCGUUCUUUCGGCAACAUUCCCUCUGUGGCCCAUUGUGCAGCUCCACCUCUUCAACAUGUGGGGACACAGUCUGUAAAACAAGGAGUGUUGACAGGGUAAAUUACAUGGAAGCUGUGCUGAUGUUUUCGGCAGGCAGUGAGAGUUGGAUAACAUGUUGUUGACAAAGUUAAAAAACUGCUUGUUUCACACGUGCUCACAUGCACGGCCUGCAGGAACAAAUGUUAGGGAUGGUCCAUUGCCUCUCUCUCUUGCUGUCAUUUUGCUUUCCAAACACAUUUUCAUCAAAUAAAUAGUCGGACGCUGCUCGUAAAUGCACAUCUGCACAUUUUGUUAAUGCGUUGUGAAGUUGUGGCCUGUUAUUACAUGGUGAAAACGGUGAAGGUAUCAUAAGUCUGUUAGAUCUUUCCCAUUUUGGAAAGGAUUCUCGUGAACCCAAGUAGCAAUCUCAGAGACGUACACUCAGUAAGGACCGUAUUUCAGCUGUGCUUUAUCACUAAAAGGUGGAGUGUGCAAUUAUGGAGAAAGAUUGCUGAUAUUUAGCACGUGCUCAGUGAAAUAUCCCUCUCACUCCUACCACCUGCUUUUCCUUCCAUCUCCCUUCCCCCUUCCUGAUCCUCUGUGCUGUGAUUGAGGCGUGCUGGAAUACCAUUGUGUAGAUCAGAGCCAGGGCUAUCACAUCAGAAUACUCCACCUUUAAUUUCAAUAAAACAUGCUGUAUAUUAAAACCUUUAGUGGUGUCUUCUUCCUGGAUUGCACACGCUUUGUUGUCCUACUAUCACUGUAAAAUAUCUUUCUAAAACCUUGUAGACCUUUUAAACCUGUAUCAGCUUUUAUAACAUCAGUAACUAAUAAAGGAGCCACUGUGGGAAAUGGUUGUGUUUUAUAAUUUGCUAAGAGUGCAUAUUAAAGAGUUGCAUUGGUUCUGAGGAAUAGGAAGGUCAAGAGCAUCAUUACCACGGUGUGACUGUAAUGAAACAAAGAAGAUAAGUCCAGCUUUAUUUUACUUAUUACUCAUCUGAUUGAAUGCAAGGAUGAUCAAGACAUAAAGUGACUGAUAAUCAAAGUACAGACAGUUUUUGAUAACAAAGGUACAGAUAGUUUUUGACAUAAGCCAUAAUCAGUAAAGAACAUGAGCUUGUUGUGUGUGCAGUCUCUAAUCUUGCUUUGCAGCGGUGAAGUCAUUCCUACGAGAGUGAUAACGACAAAACAUCAGCUGUGACAGAGGAGAGCGGAGCAACGCAGCACCGGAGGGGACGGCCAGCCUAGAUAGAUAGCUAUACACACUGUUAGAGUAUAAGAAGACUGGGUCAGGAACAGUUAGCAGUCUGAAUCCAUCCGAACUGACUGAACACUUGUUGGUGGUUCGGGACAGAGGAUUCAGGCCCAGAGCUCUGUAUCGCACAUUCAGUUUUGCUGUAAUAAAUACUUUUGAUUUUAACAAGAA